rnacentral:rRNA from 1 species
UGGGGAAUAUUGCACAAUGGGCGCAAGCCUGAUGCAGCGACGCCGCGUGGGGGAUGACGGCCUUCGGGUUGUAAACUCCUUUCGCCAGGGACGAAGCGUUUUGUGACGGUACCUGGAGAAGAAGCACCGGCUAACUACGUGCCAGCAGCCGCGGUAAUACGUAGGGUGCAAGCGUUGUCCGGAAUUACUGGGCGUAAAGAGCUCGUAGGUGGUUUGUCACGUCGUCUGUGAAAUUCCACAGCUUAACUGUGGGCGUGCAGGCGAUACGGGCUGACUUGAGUACUGUAGGGGUAACUGGAAUUCCUGGUGUAGCGGUGAAAUGCGCAGAUAUCAGGAGGAACACCGAUGGCGAAGGCAGGUUACUGGGCAGUUACUGACGCUGAGGAGCGAAAGCAUGGGUAGCAAACAGGAUUAGAUACCCUGGUAGUCCAUGCCGUAAACGGUGGGCGCUAGGUGUAGGGACCUUUUGGGGUUUCUGUGCCGUAGCUAACGCAUUAAGCGCCCCGCCUGGGGAGUACGGCCGCAAGGC